AUUGGAAUUUUUCCAGAAUCAAUGGUACACUUAUUUUUAUAUGAACUUUCAAAUGGUCAUUUGUUUUUCCUUUUGUUUCAUGUCACUCAUUUCUGCAUUUUUUUGGUGGUUUGUGUUUUUUGUAUUUGCGAGUAUUUUUUUGAUGGUUUUAAAUGUUUGGUUGUCAAGCUUUUCUCCACUUUUUUUGUGUGGGCUGUGUUGGUCUCUUGGUUGCCUUUCAUAGGAGCCAUGCUUGAAUUUUUAUGUGAUGCUACUUCAGCCUUGGCUUUAAGGCUAUUAAUGUAUUCUACUAAUUGUGUUCUUCUUUGUUCAGCCUGAUAUGCAAAUAGAGGAUGA
rnacentral:misc_RNA from 1 species